rnacentral:rRNA from 1 species
GAUGAACGCUGGCGGCGUGCCUAAUACAUGCAAGUCGAGCGAACAGACGAGGAGCUUGCUCCUCUGACGUUAGCGGCGGACGGGUGAGUAACACGUGGAUAACCUCCCUAUAAGACUGGGAUAACUCCGGGAAACCGGAGAUAAUACCGGAUAAUAUAUUGAACCGCAUGGUUCACUAGUGAAAGACGGUUUUGCUGUCACUUAUACAUGGAUCCGCGCCGCAUUAGCUUGGUGGUAAGGUACCGGCUUACCAAGGCAACGAUGCGUAGCCGACCUGAGAGGGUGAUCGGCCACACUAGAACUGAGACACGGUCCAGACUCCUAAGGGAGGCAGCAGUAGGGAAUCUUCCGCAAUGGGGGAAAGCCUGACGGAGCAACGCCGCUUGAGUGAUGAAGGUCCUCUGAUCGGAAAUCUCGGUUAUUAGGGAAGAACAAAUGUGUAAGUAACUAUGCACGUAUUGACGGUACCAAAACAAAAAGCCACGGCUAACUACGUG